rnacentral:ribozyme from 13 species
GAUGAAAAAAUUGCAAAAGCCAAGGAAAAAGUUCGGCUGGCAAAAAGUGUCACCGAAAAGGUACGUCCUCAUUUUUCAUGUCUUUCUUUGCUUUCAAUAUAUUUUCUGUAUGUCUUUAAAUCACUAUUUUUAU